GAUGAACGCUGGCGGUGUGCCUUAAGCAUGCAAGUCGAGCGGGAUAGCAAUAUCCAGCGGCAGACGGGUGAGUAACGCGUAGGAAUCUACCUCGAAGUGGGGAAUAGCCUCCCGAAAGGGAGGGUAAUACCGCAUAUUAUCGCAAGAUCAAAGCCGUAAGGCGCUUUGAGAGGAGCCUGCGUCCUAUCAGCUAGUUGGUGGGGUAAUAGCCUACCAAGGCAAUGACGGGUAGCCGAUGUGAGAGCAUGAUCGGCCACAAGGUUACUGAGACACGGAACCUACACCUACGGGUGGCAGCAACUGGGAAUCUUGCGCAAUGGACGAAAGUCUGACGCAGCGACACCGCGUGCGGGAUGAAGCUCUUAGGAGUGUAAACCGCUGUGACAGGGGAUGAAAUUUUGACCGUACCCUGUUAGAAAGCACCUGCUAACCACGUGCCAGAAGCCUCGGUAAUACGUGGGGUGCGAGCGUUAUCCGGAUUUACUGGGCGUAAAGCGUACUGUCGGCGAUCUAGUAAGUCUUCUGUCCAAGCCUGGGGCUUAACUCCAGAAAGGCAGAGGAAACUACUAGAAUUGAGUCUGUUCGAGGAACCUGGAAUUCUCGGUGGAGGGGUGAAAUCCGUAGAUAUCGAGAGGAACGCCAAGUGCGAAGGCAGGGUUCUAGGACAUGACUGACGCUCAGAGACGAAAGCUAGGGGAGCAAAAGGGAUUAGAGACCCCUGUAGUCCUAGCCGUAAAUAUUGAAUACUAGUUGCCUCAACUCCGUUGGGGUGACGUAAGCUAACGCGUUAAGUAUUCCGCCUGGGGAGUACGACCGCAAGGUUA
rnacentral:rRNA from 1 species